rnacentral:rRNA from 1 species
GACAGAGGGUGCAAACGUUGUUCGGAAUUACUGGGCGUAAAGCGCGUGUAGGCGGCUCUGCAAGUCGGGUGUGAAAUCCCAUGGCUCAACUAUGGAAGUGCACUCGAAACUGCAGGGCUAGAGUCCUGGAGAGGAAGGUGGAAUGCUUGGUGUAGAGGUGAAAUUCGUAGAUAUCAAGCGGAACACCGGUGGCGAAGGCGGCCUUCUGGACAGUGACUGACGCUGAGACGCGAAAGCGUGGGGAGCAAAGCAGG